UCGAUGCUACCUCUCUCGCGAAGAACAGUGACAACAACACCUUCUCAGGGUGCUUUCGGUUCUCUCAUGUUCAAGUGAACAAAAACAAGAACUUCCGGCCUCUUUUGAUUGAAGACAAACUCAAGACAAUUCAACAAUUAACAGCAAUAUUGAGCGUGAGGUAUGAAGAUAACUUACCUGCGGCUAGAAGAUUUUAGCCGGAUUAGUGUUGCAGGUAUGUGUCGGUUGCUCUGCUUCUGAAAUUCUGCUUCUGAAAUUGGCUAUGAUUACUGCGUUUCUGUUGUAAGUGAUUGUUGAUUCUGAGUCGCAAAUCUGAACUGCUGCUACGUUGCUGUUACGGCUUCAAACUCACCAUGAAUUGUUGCUGUGAUUGAUUAUGAACCGUGGCUUGUUUCUGUUGCUACUGUUAUUGUUGUUGCUGCAGGUAUAACACUGAUUAAUGGAAAUAUUGAGAGUAAGAGUGAAAUUAGCUUACCUACGGCGAGGAGGUUUUCGCCGGAUUAUUGUUGAGGAUCCUUUGAUGAAGAUGACACCACCUCUUUGGAUAUUAGGGAGACUUGAAGAUGGACUUCAAGUUGGAACUCUCCACCAAGGUAUGAAGAAUUUCUUCUUCACUCCCCUUCAAGAACUAUGUAGCUAGAAAUUCUUAUUUUUUCCAAGUAGUUUUCUUUGGUUUGAAGAAUUUCUCCUUCUAACAAAGAAACAUGAAAACUAUAAGAGAAGAGGAAGAAGUGAGAAAGCUAGUAGUAUAGUAGCUUUGGUGUGAUUUUCUUCAAUGAGAGAACUUCCUAUUUAUAGGCAAAGUUAAGGGAGUGUUUGGCAAUUGGUAAUCUUGAUUGGCAAGUUUCAAUCAUUGCAAGAUAAGAAAAAUAAUAUAUUCUUCAUCAUUGCAAGAAUAAAAAAUAAGAAUAAGAAUAUUCUUAUGCAAAGAUAUUUUUCAUGAUAUAAGCCAUGUGUGUAAAUUUUUAUGUCAUUUUAUGAUAUCUCUAAGUUGCAUAAUUUUAUGACAUAAAAAUCUCUCUUUGGCUUUCUUUGACUUUUGCUAAUUUCACCCCUCUUUUUGUUUCUUUUUUUUCAUGUUGCAUGAGGACCUUGAAGAAAAGCAUGAAGAAAUUUGAUCUUGAAGAAUGAAGACUUGAAGAAUUCAAGAAUUGCAUUUGAAGUUUUAUUUUUUUCUUUUCCUUGUAAUUCCAACUUUGUAUGAAUGAAACUUUGUA